GAAGUACUCCCUCCGUCCCAAAAUUCUUGUCUUAGAUUUGUCUAGAUACGGAUGUAUCAAGUCACAUUUUAGUAUUAGAUACAUCCGUAUCUAGAAAAAUCUAAGACAACAAAUUUGGGACAGAGGGAGUAGUUG
rnacentral:pre_miRNA from 1 species